ACUCAAAUGAAUAGACGGGGGCCUGCACAAGCGGUGGAGUAUGUGGCUUAAUUCGAUGCAACGCGAAGAACCUUACCUGGCCUUGACAUGCAUCUGGUAGGACCGUGAAAGCGGAACGACCCCGCAAGGGGAGGAUGCACAGGUGCUGCAUGGCUGUCGUCAGCUCGUGUCGUGAGAUGUUGGGUUAAGUCCCGCAACGAGCGCAACCCUUAUGUUCUGUUGCCACCCGGACGAGAGUCUGGAGCACUCUGGACAGACUGCCUCGCUUAAACGAGGAGGAAGGUGGGGAUGACGUCAAGUCAGUAUGGCCCUUACGGCCAGGGCUGCACACGUACUACAAUGCCCGGCACAAAGGGAAGCAAGACCGCAAGGUGGAGCAAAUCCCAGAAAACCGGGCCCAGUUCAGAUUGCCGUCUGCAACUCGACGGCAUGAAGCCGGAAUCGCUAGUAAUGGCGCAUCAGCUACGGCGCCGUGAAUACGUUCCCAGGCCUUGUACACACCGCCCGU
rnacentral:rRNA from 1 species